rnacentral:rRNA from 1 species
UUCCAGACUCCUACGGGAGGCAGCAGUGAGGAAUAUUGGUCAAUGGCCGCAGGGCUGAACCGGCCAAGUCGCGUGAGGGAUGACGGUCCUAUGGAUUGUAAACCUCUUUUGUCAGGGAGCAAAGGGCGCCACGUGUGGCGCUUUGCGAGUACCUGAAGAAAAAGCAUCGGCUAACUCCGUGCCAGCAGCCGCGGUAAUACGGAGGAUGCGAGCGUUAUCCGGAUUUAUUGGGUUUAAAGGGUGCGCAGGCGGAAGAUCAAGUCAGCGGUAAAAUUGGGAGGCUCAACCUCUUCGAGCCGUUGAAACUGGUUUUCUUGAGUGAGUGAGAAGUAUGCGGAAUGCGUGGUGUAGCGGUGAAAUGCAUAGAUAUCACGCAGAACUCCGAUUGCGAAGGCAGCAUACCGGCGCUCAACUGACGCUCAUGCACGAAAGUGUGGGUAUCGAACAGGAUUAGAUACCCUCGUA